CCAGACUCCUACGGGAGGCAGCAGUGGGGAAUAUUGCACAAUGGGCGAAAGCCUGAUGCAGCAACGCCGCGUGAAGGAAGAAGGGUUUCGGCUCGUAAACUUCUAUCAACAGGGACGAAAGAAAUGACGGUACCUGAAUAAGAAGCCCCGGCUAACUACGUGCCAGCAGCCGCGGUAAUACGUAGGAUGCGAGCGUUAUCCGGAUUUAUUGGGUUUAAAGGGUGCGUAGGCGGGAGAUCAAGUCAGCGGUAAAAAGGCGGGGCCCAACCCCGUCGAGCCGUUGAAACUGGUUUUCUUGAGUGGGCGAGAGGUAUGCGGAAUGCGUGGUGUAGCGGUGAAAUGCAUAGAUAUCACGCAGAACCCCGAUUGCGAAGGCAGCAUACCGGCGCCCAACUGACGCUGAGGCACGAAAGCGUGGGUAUCGAACAGGAUUAGAUACCCUCGUAU
rnacentral:rRNA from 1 species